AUGAAGGCCACACCUAGUCUGAGUAGUCAAUAUGGUGAAGCCAGGAUUGAUUCAUUGGAUUGCUGGUUUGGGCUUAGGGGGCAUUUCUGGUGUUUAUCUGGCACAAAACUAUCAGCUCCCACUAAUGAGUGACCUGUUUGAUCGUCUGUCCAAGUUUGUAUCUUCAUUUGAAAAGGGUACCAACAGCAGCAGCAGUAAUAAUGACAGUAUAGAGGGACGUGGUGGACCAAACAAACCUUAAGCAACAGUUUACUGUAUUGAUGCUAUUUCAUAAUUAUCACCUGUUAUUAAUUGUUUUGUAACUGUGUAUUAGUUACACUGUCUGUGGAAAUGAUUAUAAUUUUUUAAAACUGUUUAGUUAUCAAAGUCUUGAUGCAUGCUUAUGCACAUUUUGAUAAUCUGAUUGAUAGUUUUUGUAUUGAGUUACCCUCAACCUCAGUUUAUAAAG